rnacentral:rRNA from 1 species
CCUACGGGUGGCAGCAGUAGGGAAUCUUCCACAAUGGGCGAAAGCCUGAUGGAGCAACGCCGCGUGGGUGAAGAAGGUCUUCGGAUCGUAAAACCCUGUUGUUAGAGAAGAAAGUGCGUGAGAGUAACUGUUCACGUUUCGACGGUAUCUAACCAGAAAGCCACGGCUAACUACGUGCCAGCAGCCGCGGUAAUACGUAGGUGGCAAGGGUUAUCCGGUUUUAUUGGGUUUAAAGGGUGCGCAGGCGGAGGCACAAGUAGGCGGUAAAAUCGCGGGGCUCAACCCCGCACCGCCGUUGAAACUGUGUCCCUUGAGUGCGCGAAGGGUAGGCGGAAUGCGUGGUGUAGCGGUGAAAUGCAUAGAUAUCACGCAGAACUCCGAUCGCGAAGACAGCCUACCGGCGCGCAACUGACGCUCAUGCACGAAAGCGUGGGUAUCGAACAGGAUUAGAUACCCGGGUAGUC